rnacentral:rRNA from 1 species
ACACAUGCAAGUCGAGCGGUAACAUUUCGAAAGCUUGCUUUCUUUGCUGACGAGCGGCGGACGGGUGAGUAAUGCCUGGGAAUAUGCCUUGAUGUGGGGGAUAACCAUUGGAAACGAUGGCUAAUACCGCAUAAUGCCUACGGGCCAAAGAGGGGGAUCUUCGGACCUCUCGCGUCAAGAUUAGCCCAGGUGGGAUUAGCUAGUUGGUGAGGUAAUGGCUCACCAAGGCGACGAUCCCUAGCUGGUCUGAGAGGAUGAUCAGCCACACUGGAACUGAGACACGGUCCAGACUCCUACGGGAGGCAGCAGUGGGGAAUAUUGCACAAUGGGCGCAAGCCUGAUGCAGCCAUGCCGCGUGUGUGAAGAAGGCCUUCGGGUUGUAAAGCACUUUCAGUCGUGAGGAAGGUAGUUGCGUUAAUAGCGUAAUUAUUUGACGUUAGCGACAGAAGAAGCACCGGCUAACUCCGUGCCAGCAGCCGCGGUAAUACGGAGGGUGCGAGCGUUAAUCGGAAUUACUGGGCGUAAAGCGCAUGCAGGUGGUUUGUUAAGUCAGAUGUGAAAGCCCGGGGCUCAACCUCGGAAUUGCAUUUGAAACUGGCAGACUAGAGUACUGUAGAGGGGGGUAGAAUUUCAGGUGUAGCGGUGAAAUGCGUAGAGAUCUGAAGGAAUACCGGUGGCGAAGGCGGCCCCCUGGACAGAUACUGACACUCAGAUGCGAAAGCGUGGGGAGCAAACAGGAUUAGAUACCCUGGUAGUCCACGCCGUAAACGAUGUCUACUUGGAGGUUGUGGCCUUGAGCCGUGGCUUUCGGAGCUAACGCGUUAAGUAGACCGCCUGGGGAGUACGGUCGCAAGAUUAAAACUCAAAUGAAUUGACGGGGGCCCGCACAAGCGGUGGAGCAUGUGGUUUAAUUCGAUGCAACGCGAAGAACCUUACCUACUCUUGACAUCCAGAGAAGCCAGCGGAGACGCAGGUGUGCCUUCGGGAACUCUGAGACAGGUGCUGCAUGGCUGUCGUCAGCUCGUGUUGUGAAAUGUUGGGUUAAGUCCCGCAACGAGCGCAACCCUUAUCCUUGUUUGCCAGCGAGUAAUGUCGGGAACUCCAGGGAGACUGCCGGUGAUAAACCGGAGGAAGGUGGGGACGACGUCAAGUCAUCAUGGCCCUUACGAGUAGGGCUACACACGUGCUACAAUGGCGCAUACAGAGGGCUGCCAACCAGCGAUGGUGAGCGAAUCCCAAAAAGUGCGUCGUAGUCCGGAUUGGAGUCUGCAACUCGACUCCAUGAAGUCGGAAUCGCUAGUAAUCGUGGAUCAGAAUGCCACGGUGAAUACGUUCCCGGGCCUUGUACACACCGCCCGUCACACCAUGGGAGUGGGCUGCAAAAGAAGUGGGUAGUUUAACCUUUCGAGGAGGACGCUCACCACUU